rnacentral:pre_miRNA from 2 species
UUAUGAAUCCCCUGGUGAUCUUGUUAAAAUGCAGACCCUGACUCAGGAGUAGAGCCUGAAAGUCUACAUUUCUAACAAGUUCCCAGGUGAUGCUUCU